rnacentral:lncRNA from 1 species
CGCCCGCGCAUCGCUAGUCUGCUCUCAGGUACUGAACAGAUGGAGCUAAGGAGCAAAUUGCGAUGAACUUGUAAAUAAAUAAUCAUACCAGUCAUUGGGAGCCUGGGACCUGAACCGGACAUCCAUCAACAGUCGAAGGACAGAUAUAUAUACUAGCUAGAACCUUCUCCUGGAUCUGGUUGGACAAAAAAAACAUGGCUCUGUGUCCAAUUUGCAACACAGUUUUUUGUUUCUCCUACUAUUAUUUCUCCUACUAUUACUAUUAAAUGCUAGCUAGAGGACACUAUCAACCACCAAUCUAGCACACCGGUAGCUAGCUUGCUAGCUCGCAUGCCAAUCAAGUCUAACAAAAGUUACUGGCGAGCUUAUCAUGCUUGUGACAUUAUGCCAGCUAAGUAUCCCGUUAGAUCAUUUGUUUUCACCAUUCGCAUCUGUGCUUGUUGCGUUUUCCCUGUGGUUGUUGCAUUUUCCCUGUGGUUGUUGUUUUCCCUGUGCUUGUUGUUUUCCCUGGGUUGUUGGUUUUGACCUGUGCUUGUUGCGUUCCCCUGUGCUUGUGCGUUUUCCCUGUGCUGGUUGCGUUUUCCUGUGCUUGUUGUUUUCCCUGUGGUUGUUGCGUUUUCCCUGUUGCUGUUGCUUUUCCCUGUGGGUUUUUGCGUUUUUUUCCCUGUGCUUGUUGUUUUCCCUGUGCUUGUUGCGUUUUUCCUGGGUGUGUUGUUUUCCCUGUGGCGUUGCGUUUUCCCUGUGCUUGUUUUUUUCCUGUGCUUGUUGCGUUUUCCCUGUGGUUGUUGUUUUCCCUGUGGCCUGUUGCGUUUUCCCUGUGGUUGUUGCGUUUCUGUGGCUGUUGCGUUUCCCUGUGGCUGUUGCGUUUUCCCUGUGGCGUUGCGUUUUCCCUGUGCUGUUGUGUUUUCCCUGUUGCUUGUUGUGUUUUCCUGUGCUUGUUGUUUUCCCUGUGCUUGUGUUUUCCCUGUGGUUGUACGUUUUCCCUGUGCUUGUUGCGUUUUCUCUGUGGUUGUUGUUUUCCCUGUGGUUGUUGUUUUCCCUGUGCUGUUGUUUUCCCUGCUUGUUGCGUUUUCCUGUGCUGUUGUGUUUUCCUGUGGUUGUUACGUUUUCCUGUGCUUGUUGUUUUCCCUGUGCUGUUGUUGUUUUCCUGUGCUUGUUGUUUCCCUGUGCUUGUUGCGUUUUCCCUGUGGUUGUUGUUUUCCCUGUGUUGUUUCGUUUUCCUGUGCUUGUUGUUUUCCCUGUGCUUGUUUGUUUUCCCUGUGCUUGUUGCGUUUUCCCUGUGGUUGUUGUUUUCUCCUGUGCUUGUUGCGUUUUCCCUGUGGUUGUUGUUUUCCCUGUGGUUGUUGUUUUCCCUGUGCUUGUUGUUUUCCCUGUGGCUGUUGCGUUUUUUUCCUGUGGUUGUUACGUUUUCCCUGUGGUUGUUACGUUUUUCCUGUGCUUGUUGCGUUUUCCCUUUGGUUGUUGUUUUCCCUUUGCUUGUUGCGUUUUCCCUGUGCUUGUUGUUUUCCCUGUGCUUGUUGCGUUUUCCCUGUGCUUGUUGUUUUCCCUGUGCUUGUUGUUUUCCCUGUGCUUGUGUCCCAGAUGCACUCGUGAGAUGCUGCGCGCUGCUC